UCUUCCGUAGUAUAGUGGUCAGUAUGCAAGCUUGUCAAUAAAACAAUUCGCUUGAGACCCGGGUUCAAUUCCCGGCGGGAGAG
rnacentral:tRNA from 1 species